GGGUUGUGAGGUUAAGCGACUAAGCGUACACGGUGGAUGCCCUGGCAGUCAGAGGCGAUGAAGGACGUGCUAAUCUGCGAUAAGCGUCGGUAAGGUGAUAUGAACCGUUAUAACCGGCGAUUUCCGAAUGGGGAAACCCAGUGUGAUUUGUCACACUAUCAUUAACUGAAUCCAUAGGUUAAUGAGGCGAACCGGGGGAACUGAAACAUCUAAGUACCCCGAGGAAAAGAAAUCAACCGAGAUUCCCCCAGUAGCGGCGAGCGAACGGGGAGGAGCCCAGAGCCUGAAUCAGUGUGUGUGUUAGUGGAAGCGUCUGGAAAGGCGCGCGAUACAGGGUGACAGCCCCGUACACAAAAAUGCACAUGCUGUGAGCUCGAUGAGUAGGGCGGGACACGUGGUAUCCUGUCUGAAUAUGGGGGGACCAUCCUCCAAGGCUAAAUACUCCUGACUGACCGAUAGUGAACCAGUACCGUGAGGGAAAGGC
rnacentral:rRNA from 1 species